GAAUCGGCACGCAGGACAGAUCGUGUUGGUGAGGAUCGCGGAGACACGGAAUGCUAGUCAUCUCUUCUUAGAGCUAAACCUCCGUUGAGAUCUUAGAAGGUCUUAGAUCGAUCGAGAGUUCAAAGACGUUGGAAAAUAGGAACGUUCGAGCGACUCUUUCGUUUUCGAGAGAGUAAAGCGAGAACAACAACCGGGUCGUGAGGAUUACUCGAGAUGAAAUGGAACGCCGAAAACCCAAGGGAGAAAGGAAUAGCGAAGAAAAGGAAUCGGACAAAAAGAUAAAAGAUAGAGGGACAAAAAGGAGAAAAAAGAAAGAGAGAGAGAAAGGACACACAUAAUGGAGACGAAGGAGAAAGCAGAAAGUGGAGAGCGUAAUUGGCAAAGCUCCUUUAUGAUACGCCGUCCGUGUCGCAAUGAUCUACAACAACUGGCAAGUUCUCCAAAGAAAACGAUUGCUUGUUUUUGGGACUGAUCGAUUUUAUGUUGAUGCGUCAUCGGCGCGAUUUAAUUCGACGUGUGUGAUCGGAGUUAUGUAAAAUGCUGAUGAACUUCGUAGGAGGAUAUUGCUGGCUGAUGAACUUAUUUCCGUAGAAAAAAAAAAUUGCUAUUGUCUAUUCAACGUCUUCGAAUUUGCAUGACAUGCACGAGCAUUAGAU